rnacentral:rRNA from 1 species
AGAGUUUGAUCCUGGCUCAGAAUGAACGCUGGCGGCGUGCUUAACACAUGCAAGUCGCACGAGAACGCUUCAGCUUGCUGAAGCUAGUAAAGUGGCGCACGGGUGAGUAACGCGUGGGUAAUCUACCCCCGAAUUGGGGAUAACAUCGCGAAAGCGAUGCUAAUACCGGAUAAUAUCUUAAGGACCUCGGUUUUUAAGAUCAAAGGUGGCCUCUACAUGUAAGCUUCUGUUUGGGGAUGAGCCCGCGUACCAUUAGCUUGUUGGUAGGGUAAUGGCCUACCAAGGCUACGAUGGUUAGCUGGUCUGAGAGGAUGAUCAGCCACACUGGAACUGACACACGGUCCAGACUCCUACGGGAGGCAGCAGUGAGGAAUUUUGCGCAAUGGGGGAAACCCUGACGCAGCAACGCCGCGUGGAGGAUGAAGGCCUUCGGGUCGUAAACUCCUGUCAGAAGGGAAGAACUGCGUGUAGGUUAAUAGCCUGCAUGUUUGACGUACCUUCAGAGAAGCCACGCUAACU